CAGUAGCCGCGGUAAUACAGAGGGUGCGAGCGUUAAUCGGAUUUACUGGGCGUAAAGCGCACGUAGGCGGACAUUUAAGUCAGGGGUGAAAUCCCGGGGCUCAACCCCGGAACUGCCUUUGAUACUGGGUGUCUAGAGUAUGGAAGAGGUGAGUGGAAUUCCGAGUGUAGAGGUGAAAUUCGUAGAUAUUCGGAGGAACACCAGUGGCGAAGGCGGCUCACUGGUCCAUUACUGACGCUGAGGUGCGAAAGCGUGGGGAGCAAACAGGAUUAGAUACCCCCGUAGUCCCUGUCUCUUAUAC
rnacentral:rRNA from 1 species